UACUGUAGAAGGUGGGAAGCAGGGCA
rnacentral:piRNA from 1 species